UUAUAUGAAUGAUGAUGAUGAUGAUGAUGAUGAUGAUGAUGAUGACGAUCAUCAUCAUCAUCAUCAUCAUCAUCUUCAUCAUGAAGA
rnacentral:pre_miRNA from 1 species